ensembl:lncRNA
GGGGGAGGCGGGGGGCAGCUCAUCAUUUGACCAACAGGAAUAUGAUACAACAUUUACAGGAAACAUCAUCUGGCUGUUCUCCAAUGGAGGCAGAACUGUGUGUCAUGUGGCUCAGCGCAGCAACAAGCGGCUCAUUGUGACACUCCGGUCCAUUCACAGAAACAGCAUUCUGGGAGUCCACACUUCAACCCUGUUGGAGUUGGGGAGAAAUAGGUUGAAAAAGAAAGACAAAGAAAGAAAGAUAGAAAGAAAGAGAGAUAAAAAGACAGUAAUUUUUUUAGUUGGGCCAGAUAUUGAUCUGUUGGUGUACUGACCGAUCUCUCAACACAGAGGAAACCUUUAACAGGGAUUGACCUGAUCAGAGCAUUUAUCUCCAACUCACUGAACUCUCACACAGUCGUGUGUCUUAAGGAUUAUAGCAGGGCGUAAUUUAGGCUACUACAUUUGUAAUUACACACAUAUACACACACAUACACAUACACACACACACACACGGUGAUAUCAUGAUUCCCAACAAAUAUUUAAGAAUCUAUUAUAUUCUGUUGCAUAUAGAUAACAGACUAUGUUUCUGAUUAUAAUAACAUAGAAGCAAGGAGCCUUUAUUCUGUGGGCCAGACGGUUCUGUCUCUGCUUUCGUUGUGUUCCAUCAGAGUCCAGUUAAUAUGUCAUCCUGAGCAGGAGUAUAAUCACAGUGAAGUUGUGCUUUUAUGGUCUACAUAAACAGAUCUGGAGAGACGUAUGAAAAUGUAUCAUAAAAUACAGCUGACCCAAUAUCUAGAUGUGUUGUUAUAGUGACCACACAUACACGUAUGCAAACACACACACACACACGGCCCUGAUACAAAACCAGGCUUCCACUGGAUGCUUCUAACAUUGCCCGCUGUGAUGCAGUCUCCAUGGUGACGGUCGGUCGUUUCCUGGGUAACCCCAGCCACGGUUGCCAUGGCAGCGCUGUUUCCUGGGUUACGUUCCAGAUGGCCUGGGAGUCAGACAGAAGAUUGUCAUCUCUCCUCUCCUCUGGAGUCUGAACACCUCUUUACACAACACUCACGUACCCACAGAUGACACAGUCUUUGGUUAGCCUGUCAGUGAUACCAAACAAAGUGUUGCCAAGGUGUCCAGGGAGAAAGGGGCUGGCGUUUUCAGAACUGCUUUGGAGAGAACAGUGAAACUCUAUCGGAACGGUUUUCUGCUAACACCAGAUCUUAAAUAAAACAUUUAGUGAGAUGGAGCAAACUAAUAUCACGACAGAGGCUAAAGCUGUUCAACCAACCAUUAUCAUGACAGAGGCUAAAGAUGUUCAACCAACCAUUAUCAUGACAGAGGCUAAAGCUGUUCAACCAACCAAUAUCAUGACAGAGGCUAAAGCUGUUCAACCAACCAAUAUCAUGACAGAGGCUAAAGCUGUUCAACCAAUCAAUAUCAUGACAGAGGCACAAGCUGUUCAAACAACCAAUGUCAUGACAGAGGCUAAAGCUGUUCAACCAACCAUUAUCAUGACAGAGGCUAAAGCUGUUCAACCAACCAAUAUCAAUGCAGAGGCACAAGCUGUUCAACCAACUAAUAUUGUGACAGAAACUAAAGCUGUUCAAUCAACCAAUAUGAUCACAGAGUCUGAGGCUGUUAAACCAACCAAUAGGAUCACAGAGGCUAAAGCUGUUAAACCAACCAAACUCAUAACAGAGUCUGAGGCUGUUAAACCAACUAAUAUGAUCACAGGGUCUGAGGCUGUUCAACCAACCAAUAUGAUCACACAAUCUGAGUCUGUUCAACCAACCAAAAACAUCAGAGUCUGAGGCUGUUCAACCAACCCAGCAAAUGGAAAGGAGUUCAGAGGGAGUGCCCAAAUCAAGAAGUCACAUCACCCAGAUGCUCACAGACAGACAGACAGGCAGAGAGACAGACAGACAGAGACAGACAGACAGACAAACUGACAUCAUCCAUUUUCACUGUCUGUCUGUCUGUGGGUCCGGCUGGCAUUGUUCUGACCCUGUUGAUGGGUUAGAACCAAGAUUCACUCUGACCACCUGACACUGCUCUUCAACUACCUAACAUACAUCCAACACGCACGAUGACCCCUGGUUGGGUGUGUUCACCUCCACUGAGGGUCUGACUUUCCAGCCUAGGCCCCAGCCAGAUUUGGGGAGAUGGGACCAAAAUUAAGAAAACCCAAAGACUUUGAAUAUUUACUGUGAGCAAGUUACUUAUAGCAGACACUCCUGUGGUUGCUAGCUUGCGGCUGUUCAGCCUUCAAUGGAUUAAAAUUUUUUUUUUUACUGUAAUCUGUUACGUUACCAGUUAAAAUAUUGUAAUCCGAUAACAGAUACUUUUGAAACAAUGUAUGAUUACUUCCUGGAUUACUUCAAUUGAAUUUCAUAGGGGAACUCUGACUCCUCCCAGGGGACGGUCAGCACCAGAACUCUGACUCCUCCCAGGGGACGGUCAGCACCAGAACUCUGACUCCUCCCAGGGGUCUCUCAGCACCAGAACUCUACAGGACGUCACCAGAAAAGGAGCGAAGUUUGAGCCAUAAGAUUCAGCCAUAACACCCUGGAGUCAACACAACAUGAAUUAGGAUACAACCAGGAACCAACCAAGAAUGAACCAGGAACCAAUGAGCAACCGACUGGGUGUAAACUAAGAUCCAACCAGGAAAUAACCAAGAAGAAACCAGGAAUGGACAAAGAGAGACUGAAACAGUGUUAUCCACAGAAGCAGAACUCAUACAUUGGACAGUCUAAUUCAGAGAAAGAUUCUGUCUGGUGGGAAGACUAGGUGGUAUGUUCUCCAUAUCUGAAUUCUGCUUCGUUUUGUGUCCUAUUUAUUCAACCUCUGUGCACCAAUCAGCCGUUAGUGAAAUCACCUGGUGGUGUUAACCAAUCGGGAACCGCAAUGUUUUGAAGAACUGUUAAACCACAAGCCUUCGUUAGUUGUGUACUUUCUUUGUAACUAACAUUUGACCACACACACACGCAUACAUCUGAACGGUGUGUGGUUUGCUGCAGUUACCUGACACACACACACACACACACACACAGAAGAGAGCUUAAUGACACUUCCUAUAAAUGGGAAUGCUUGGGGAGUGAUAAGUGGUGCUGAAUGGAGCUGUGUUGAGUUGGUAGUGUUGAGUGAAAAUGUGCUGACUGAAAAACAUGUUGAGUUGGGAGUGUUGAGUGAAAAUAUGUUGAGUGGAUCUGUGUAGAGUGAAACCAUUUUGAGGUGGGAGUGUGGAGUGGAGUUGUGUUGAGUGAAGCCAUGUUGAGGUGGGAGUGUUGAGUGGGACCGUGUUCAGUUGGGAGUGUUGAGUGGGAGCGUGUCACGGUCUUUGUCAUAUUGGCAUAUUACAGUACUUGUUUUAUUGCGCUGUGCUGUCUACAACAUAAAUAUUGAAACCAACUCUGUGCGACUUGUCAUUGUUCUGUUUAACAGCGUUGAGGUGCAGAGCACAAAAC